rnacentral:ncRNA from 1 species
AGAGAUGGGAUGUCUGAAGGAAGCAUGAGGCAGAACCUGUGUACGUAGCGAACAGCGAACCGGCUAGAUGGUGUUGGGGAGGAGGUCGAGCAGGCGUGACAGAGCGAGGCCUAAUAUCCGGAGAACCGAACUGACAUGAAGCCGGACGGGAUACAGGGA